AGCUCCAAUAGCGUAUAUUAAAGUUGUUGCAGUUAAAAAGCUCGUAGUUGGAUUUCUGGGUUUCUCGAACUUGUCCGCCGAAAGGUGAGCACGGGUUUGAGGGCUCAUCCUGCUGACAGUGGCCUUUGCUCCAUGAGCUGAGGUUCGCUUCAGCGCCUUUACUUUGAAAAAUUAGAGUGUUCAAAGCAGGCUUACGCUUGAAUACAUUAGCAUGGAAUAAUGGAAUAGGACUCUGUCUUAUUUCGUUGGUUUUCAAGACUAGAGUAAUGAUUAAUAGGGACAGUUGGGGGCAUUAGUAUUUAAUUGUCAGAGGUGAAAUUCUUGGAUUUAUGAAAGACUAACUUCUGCGAAAGCAUUUGCCAAGGAUGUUUUCA
rnacentral:rRNA from 1 species